GAUGAACGCUGGCGGCGUGCCUAACACAUGCAAGUCGAGCGAACGGACGAGAAGCUUGCUUCUCUGAUGUUAGCGGCGGACGGGUGAGUAACACGUGGAUAACCUACCUAUAAUACUGGGAUAACUUCGGGAAACCGGAGCUAAUACCGGAUAAUAUCUUGAACCGCAUGGUUCAAUAGUGAAAGACGGUCUUGCUGUCACUUAUAGAUGGAUCCGCGCUGCAUUAGAUAGUUGGUAAGGUAACGGCUUACCAAGGCUACGAUGCAUAGCCGACCUGAGAGAGUGAUCGGCCGCACGGGAGCGUGAACGGGGUCCAGGCGCCUACGGGAGGGAGCAGUAGGGUAUCUGCCGCAGUGGGCGAAAGCAUGGCGGAGCAACGCCGCGUGAGUGAUGGAGGUCUUCGGAUCGUGAAGCUCUGUUAUUAGGGGAAAACAUAUGUGUAAGUAGCUGUACACAUCUUGACGGUACCUAAUCAGAAAGCCACGGCUAACUACGUG
rnacentral:rRNA from 1 species